GUUUUUUCUCCUGUGCAGUUUCCGAUCACUAGUAAAUCGUAACUGCCUCCGCCUCUCGGGCUCGCCGGCCACGAGCGCGGGGCGGCCACGGGCACGGCCGGGCGGCCGGGCGCGGGGCGCGGCCCGACGCGGGCGGCGGCCGGGCUGACGGGGAUGGCCGAGGCGGCGAGUACCGUCUCGGCGCAGCCGGCGCUGUGGCCGCAUCCAACGGCGCGAUGGCCGUGUCCUGCGGGCAAGCGAGGGCGGAGCGCGGCGCGUGGCCGGGCACGGGGCGCGGCACGGGACUCGACGGGCGUGGCGCGGCGCGUUGGCCACCGCUGCAGUCUGGUACCGCAUGUGCGCGAGCGCCGCAGUCAACGGCAAGCGAGAUAGGCUCGUCAGCCGGAAGAAGGAACGCUGCGUCGGCCGCUGGCCGUCUUCACCCCAAUAUGAGUUGGGGCUGCAGAUGAGCCGCGCUGGGAGGUUCCACGCCAAGGUCGAAGGCCAUCGUCGUGUGAUGUUCUUCCCGCUCCUGCAUGUCUGAAGGCAGCCGCUGCGUGCGCAGCCCAGGGAUGUGCCAGGAGGCCGAAAAUUAAGAUCGCCACAGACUGGGACGGCGGGACCGUCGGAAUUGCUGCCUCCGUUGUCGAAGACGUUGCCACGCGUCGGGCGUCGCUGCAAACAUUGGAUGGAAGUCUGUGCAUCAAAUGCUGUCGUUGCUCCAUGUCCUUGGCCGUCCCCUCCGUAACAGCCAUGUCGGGAUGGCCUAGUCACUCUCUGCGGAGAAACUAAAGUGCUGAUAACGUGUUAGAAAGGGAAACGAGAGACAAUCGAGAGAGCCUUGGAACACAUGUAAAAGUGAAUCCUUGUUCUCAUUGAUGAUGGGUUACACAUAUAUAUAUAACCCCCGAAGGGGUGUCUCCGAAGGGACACAAGGCAACCGCCUCCUUUAGGAAAAGUAGGGAUUAACAGGAUUAAUUAAAUCCUAACAAUCAUCAACCCUUCUCCAUCGCUAAUUCCAUGAUGCUCCCCAUCAGGAGUGAGUAAUCCCUUCGUAGGCUCGCUGGUCGGUGAGGAGUUAGAUGAGAUUCAUCAUGUAAUCGAGUUAGUUUUGUUAGGGCUUGAUCCCUAGUAUCCAUUAUGGUCUGAGGUUGAUGUUGCUAUGACUUUUCCAUGCUUAAUGCUUGUUACUUUGGGCCCGGGUACCAUGAUUUCAGAUCUGAACCGUUUAUGUUAUCACCAUUAUAUCUAUGUUCUAGAUCCGAUCUUGCAAGUUAUAGUCACCUACUACGUGUUAUGAUCCGGCAACCCCGGAGUGACAAUAGUCGGG
rnacentral:rRNA from 1 species